rnacentral:rRNA from 1 species
GGCUCAGAGUGAACGCUGGCGGUAGGCCUAACACAUGCAAGUCGAACGGCAGCACAGAGGAGCUUGCUCCUUGGGUGGCGAGUGGCGGACGGGUGAGGAAUACAUCGGAAUCUACUUUUUCGUGGGGGAUAACGUAGGGAAACUUACGCUAAUACCGCAUACGACCUACGGGUGAAAGCAGGGGACCUUCGGGCCUUGCGCGAUUGAAUGAGCCGAUGUCGGAUUAGCUAGUUGGCGGGGUAAAGGCCCACCAAGGCGACGAUCCGUAGCUGGUCUGAGAGGAUGAUCAGCCACACUGGAACUGAGACACGGUCCAGACUCCUACGGGAGGCAGCAGUGGGGAAUAUUGGACAAUGGGCGCAAGCCUGAUCCAGCCAUACCGCGUGGGUGAAGAAGGCCUUCGGGUUGUAAAGCCCUUUUGUUGGGAAAGAAAUCCAGCCGGCUAAUACCUGGUUGGGAUGACGGUACCCAAAGAAUAAGCACCGGCUAACUUCGUGCCAGCAGCCGCGGUAAUACGAAGGGUGCAAGCGUUACUCGGAAUUACUGGGCGUAAAGCGUGCGUAGGUGGUUGUUUAAGUCUGUUGUGAAAGCCCUGGGCUCAACCUGGGAACUGCAGUGGAAACUGGACAACUAGAGUGUGGUAGA